CAAACUACAAUCGUUUAAACAAACUGAGCAGAGGAAAAAUCAAACCCACGAUAAAUCACCAAUGAAAUCAAACUUUUCUAAAUUUUAACAAAAACGUUAAAAAAACAAAGUUUUCUCCCUUUUCUGGGAUAAUUUUCUCACCUACAUUUCUUUGGAAACUUUGCCGUUGUAUUUUUUCUUCCCUUUCCUUUUAUAUAUAUCCAUCCCGCAGUAUCUUCUUCUCAUGUUUCGUUCUAUUAGCACUGUUAACAACCAUGAAACGGGUAUCUUCCGCUAAUGUUUUCAGUACCAUCGCCACAACGACCCUUCUUACCUCUCCUUAUAGACCUCCCGAUAAGGGUAACUGCAAAAGCAACAACGUUAAAGUUAUGGGUAAUAAGAAAACAGGCGUUCAUGGCAAUGUUGCUGAUUAUCACGUUUUCAAUGGCGGCGUUCAUUCUGGGAAACCCUCUUUCAUGAAGUGGACACUCAAUGACGUUGUUAACGUGGUGAGAUCUCAUCGGAUACCAUGUGUUUUCGCGGUGGGGAUGGUGUUUUUCAUGUACGUGGAAUACACGAUCCGGAUGGUGCCUCAUUCCUCGCCGCCCUUGGACUGGGGGUUCCUCCUCACCCGCUCUUUCCAUCGCGCGUUGGCUUCGCGGCCGCUACUUAACACGGUUUUAGCAGCUCUUAAUACGGUAGUUUAAAGCUUUUAAUUUUUCUUUAAAGAUCCUUUUUCUUUUUUCCCCUUUUUCUUGAAAUUAAUCGCUUGAUGUACUUUGAAUUUGUUUGCAAUAUUAAGCCAAAAAAAAAAAAGGUUUGAACCCAAUCCAACUUUGGUUCCAUUUAUGUUGUGUUUAGGUGUUCGUUCUGAUGCAGACAGUUUAUAUAGUAUGGGCAUGGAUAAUCGAGGGUCGGCCAAGGGCUACAAUCUCUGCUUUGUUCAUGUUUACAUGUCGUGGGAUUCUUGGUUGCUCAACGCAGCUCCCAUUACCUCAGGUUAAUACUCCAUUUUUAUGUUUUUCCCUUUCCCAGUUUUUGUUUUAUCUUUUUUUGGGCUAAGAUAGCACUGUCUUUUUUCUUCUUCUUUUUUUUUUUUUUGUGUGUGUGUGUAGACAUGAAAUCGAGACUUUAUUUUAUAGAUAUUAAUUUGAUUGUAAAUUGGCUGAUGAAUGGCAGGAAUUUUUAGGGUCUGGGGUAGAUUUUCCAGUAGGGAAUGUGUCGUUUUUCCUUUUCUUCUCAGGGCACGUAGCCGGAGCAGUGAUUGCAUCGUUAGACAUGAGACGAAUGCAGAGACGGGGAAUGGCUUGGUUAUUUGACAUUCUCAAUGUGCUUCAAUCACUCAGGCUGUUAGCUACCAGGGGUCACUAUACUAUUGAUUUGGCUGUUGGCCUUGGUGCUGGAAUUUUAUUUGAUUUUCUUGCUGGUAAAUAUGAACAAAGCAAGACAACGAAAACCUCCACUUUCUCUCGUUCCAUGAAAGAGAUUUGUUAACCCUUCACUCUUUUAAUGAUUUCCGGAUUUAGAUGCUACUCAGCAAGCUUCAUAUAUGUAUAUAUUUUCUAUCAUACUGUAAACAUUAUCAUCUGGCAUUGGUAAAUGGCAAACACAAAACUCUCGCAAAUUAAAAAUUCCAAAAAUUAAAUAUACCAAUACCAAACAUGUAUCUAUUUUGAUAUUUCGAGUAUGAUAACAUAAUUAUUAAAGGGUCCGAAAAUGAUGGGAUUUUGAGUGGUACCUAUCACCGACCGUGUGGCCGAAAAGGGUCGAGUUGAGACGGAAAGAAUGACCAAGUUGUUGCCAUUCCUCGCACGCUUUUGCGGCUGUUUUUAACUUCGCUAGACAAAGAACUCAACUUGGCAAGAUAGGAGGAUAACUUUGCUUGGAUAGGGAGAGAGAGGAGACCUACAAAAAUAUGUAAACCAUGGCAACUAGAUUAGUUAAAACAAGUAAAGGGCUAAAACAAACAAAACCUGACUACAAAAGUAUAUGGAUGUCGUUUCACCACAUCUCUUCUAAUCUAAACAAGCAACAAAUACCACCUUCCUUUUUCUAUUAUCCACAAUUUCUUCCCGCAUUUUAAAAGACUAUAUAAUUUGACAAUAACCCCAAAAUCUUCAAAUUUUGGCUUUAGCUACAAACCGACCAUGGCUUCUAUAAAACCCAGUUUUUCUUUUGAACCCACUAAUUGAGUCGACACCAUAAUGGCUUUAAUCAUAUCUGCAUUGUUAAAGCCCAACUCCUUACCUUUUUCACCUCUUCAAAGAGUAACACC
rnacentral:lncRNA from 1 species